rnacentral:rRNA from 1 species
ACAGAGGUGGCAAGCGUUGUUCGGAAUUACUGGGCGUAAAGGGCGCGUAGGCGGCCUUAUAAGUCUCGUGUGAAAGUCCUCGGCUUAACUGAGGAUCUGCACGGGAUACUGUAGGGCUCGAGUUCGGGAGAGGAAAGCGGAAUUCCGGGCGUAGCGGUGAAAUGCGUAGAUAUCCGGAGGAACACCAGUGGCGAAGGCGGCUUUCUGGACCGACACUGACGCUGAGGCGCGAAAGCUAGGGGAGCAAACGGGA